rnacentral:SRP_RNA from 2 species
GCCGGGUGUGGUGGCGUGUGCCUGUAAUCCCAGCUACUUGGGAGGCUGAGGCAGGUGAAUCGCUUGAACCCAGGAGGUGGAGGUUGCAGUGAGCCGAGAUCAUGCCAUUGUACUCCAGCCUGGGUGACAGAGCAAGACUCCGGCUUGAGAAAAAAAAAAAGAUGAGGCUCAUUCAACAUUGAACCUGAGGGUGAUAGCCCUGUUCCUUUUUUUUUUUUUUUUUUUUUUUUUUUUUCUGAGACAGAGUCUCGCUCUAUGGCCCAGGCUGGAGUGCAGUGAUGUGAUCUCAGCUCACUGCAGCCUCUGCCUCCUGGGCUCAAGCGAGGGUCUCCUGCCUCAG